GAUGAACGCUGGCGGCGUGCUUAACACAUGCAAGUCGAACGGACAGGCCCUGCUUUUGUGGGGUGCUCGAGUGGCGAACGGGUGAGUAACACGUGAGUAACCUGCCCUUGACUUUGGGAUAACUUCAGGAAACUGGGGCUAAUACCGGAUAGGAGCUCCUGCUGCAUGGGGGUGGUUGGAAAGUUUCGGCGGUUGGGGAUGGACUCGCGGCUUAUCAGCUUGUUGGUGGGGUAGUGGCUUUCCAAGGCUUUGACGGGUAGCCGGCCUGGGAGGGUGACCGGCCACAUUGGGACUGCGAUACGGCGCAGAAUGCUAUGGGAGGCAGCAGUGGGGAAUAUUGCACAAUGGGCGGAAGCCUGAUGCAGCAACGCCGCGUGCGGGAUGACGGCCUUCGGGUUGUAAACCGCUUUCGCCUGUGACGAAGCGGGAGUGACGGUAAUGGGUAAAGAAGCACCGACUAACUACGUG
rnacentral:rRNA from 1 species